rnacentral:rRNA from 1 species
CAGUAGCCGCGGUAAUACAGAGGGUGCGAGCGUUAAUCGGAUUUACUGGGCGUAAAGCGUGCGUAGGCGGCUUCUUAAGUCGGAUGUGAAAUCCCUGAGCUUAACUUAGGAAUUGCAUUCGAUACUGGGAAGCUAGAGUAUGGGAGAGGAUGGUAGAAUUCCAGGUGUAGCGGUGAAAUGCGUAGAGAUCUGGAGGAAUACCGAUGGCGAAGGCAGCCAUCUGGCCUAAUACUGACGCUGAGGUACGAAAGCAUGGGGAGCAAACAGGAUUAGACCCCCGUAGUCCCUGUCUCUUAUACAC